rnacentral:tRNA from 1 species
GCGGCCGUAGUCUAGCCUGGCCUAGGACAUCGGCCCCCCAAGCCGGUAACCCGGGUUCGAAUCCCGGCGGCCGCACCA